GAUAACAAUGCACAUAUUCACCAUAACAGUGUAACAUAACUAUGUAAUAAGAACAAAAAUACAAAUCCUGGCCAAAAUUAGGAUUUUAGGUUAAAGGUGAUAAAAAAAUGAAAUCUGUGACAACUAAAUGGAAGGGAAGUAAAUGAGAAAGAGAAACGUCACCAAACAGCAUACCAGAUUUGAUCUUCAUUCAAGGAAACUAGAGUUACAUAGUUGUCAUGGUGUAAAAAGACUCAAGUCCAU